rnacentral:rRNA from 1 species
UACAGAGGCCUCAAGCGUUAGGCGGAAUCACUGGGCUUAAAGCGCGUGUAGGCGGACCGUUAAGUGCCUUGUGAAAUCCCACGGCUCAACCGUGGAACUGCUGGGCAUACUGGCGGUCUCGGGCCACUCAGGGGUCGCCGGAACAAGCGGUGGAGCGGUGAAAUGCGUAGAUAUCGCUUGGAACGCCGAAGGUGAAGACAGGCGACUGGGAGUGUGCCGACGCUGAGACGCGAAAGCCAGGGGAGCAAACGGG